GCCCUCGUGGAGAAAUGGUAACUCGCCAGACUCCUAAUCUGGAUAUUGCGGUAAGUCCCCUAUAAUCAAGAUACUGCUUUCAUUCACAAUCCAUACUAACAAGAGCAACAGGGUUCGAGUCCCGUCGGGGGUG